GACGAACGCUGGCGGCGUGCUUAACACAUGCAAGUCGAACGGAAAGGCCCUGCUCUUGUGGGUUUCUCGAGUGGCGAACGGGUGAGUAACACGUGAGUAACCUGCCCUUGACUUUGGGAUAACUUCAGGAAACUGGGGCUAAUACCGGAUAUGAGCUCCUGCUGCAUGGUGGGGGUUGGAAAGUUUCGGCGGUUGGGGAUGGACUCGCGGCUUAUCAGCUUGUUUGUGGGGUAGUGGCUUACGAAGGCUUUGACGGGUAGCCGGCCUGAGAGGGUGACCGGCCACAAUGGGACUGAGAGACGGCCCAGACUCCUACGGGAGGCAGCAGUGGGGAAUAUUGCACAGUGGGCGGAAGCCUGAUGCAGCAGCGCCGCGUGCGGGAUGACGGCCUUCGGGUUGUAAACCGCUUUCGAAUGUGACGAAGAGUGAGUGACGGUAAUGGGUAAAGAAGCACCGGCUAACUACGUG
rnacentral:rRNA from 1 species